CAUGAUUGACCGGGCAGAGCUGCCAGUCAAGUACGGCAUCUUCAUCAUCCUCACCAGCCUCGAAGAGUCAACCAAGUACGUCAACUUCUCUGCCGAGGAGGCAGGGACAAGUGUGCCAGUGACACAUCGGUACGAGGUCAAGAACCUGCGGCAGCGGAGCGGCCCC